rnacentral:rRNA from 2 species
UGCAAGUCGAGCGGUAGAGAGAAGCUUGCUUCUCUUGAGAGCGGCGGACGGGUGAGUAAUGCCUAGGAAUCUGCCUGGUAGUGGGGGAUAACGUUCGGAAACGGACGCUAAUACCGCAUACGUCCUACGGGAGAAAGCAGGGGACCUUCGGGCCUUGCGCUAUCAGAUGAGCCUAGGUCGGAUUAGCUAGUUGGUGGGGUAAUGGCUCACCAAGGCGACGAUCCGUAACUGGUCUGAGAGGAUGAUCAGUCACACUGGAACUGAGACACGGUCCAGACUCCUACGGGAGGCAGCAGUGGGGAAUAUUGGACAAUGGGCGAAAGCCUGAUCCAGCCAUGCCGCGUGUGUGAAGAAGGUCUUCGGAUUGUAAAGCACUUUAAGUUGGGAGGAAGGGCCGUUACCUAAUACGUGAUGGUUUUGACGUUACCGACAGAAUAAGCACCGGCUAACUCUGUGCCAGCAGCCGCGGUAAUACAGAGGGUGCAAGCGUUAAUCGGAAUUACUGGGCGUAAAGCGCGCGUAGGUGGUUUGUUAAGUUGGAUGUGAAAUCCCCGGGCUCAACCUGGGAACUGCAUUCAAAACUGACUGACUAGAGUAUGGUAGAGGGUGGUGGAA